rnacentral:tRNA from 1 species
UUUUAAUAGCUUAUUUGAGAGUACGAUGUUGAAGAUAUCGGGGAAGUAUAUUUACUUUAAAAUAU